UAUAUUUAUCCAGAAGAUUUCGAAAGUUCUGGGUUGAAAUGUUCAUAAUACGGAAACCACACUAACACAUGGAAUAGGAUCAUAAAGAUUUCUGAGAUGAAUAAUAUGAAGCGAUAGCAAAGUUACAUUAUAAAUAAUAUGCAUGAAAUGAAAUCUUUUAAGAAACUCUCCCACUGAUAAACAAUGCUAUAUUAUUCCGACAUUAGAACAUCCAUCGAAGCAAUUGGACCAUAAUCUUCAUUCUUCAGUUUUGCAAAUUAUAUAAAUCCUACCUUAUUCGUUAAUGAGUCAUUUUCAAUGGAAGUUUCUCUCUUCAGUCACAAAAAUUCUUGACUUCAGCAAUUAUGAACGUUUGCCACAAGCGAUAAAGCAUUUUCAAUAGCUACAACCCAAGAUUCUCGGCUGAAUAAUAAAAUAAGCAAAUAAUAAAGUUAAAGCUGACCACGCUGAUGAAUUGAAGUUCGGAAGUCAUUCACAAGACAAUUAGAUCUGAUAAAUAUCGGCUGCGUUUACUGUACAAAAACAAGAAAUGACUGAAAAUGUUUAUCAAGGACGAAAGAUUCUCUUUUUCAAACAAAAUUGUUAAGCCAACCAUGUGUAAAGAUAAUAAUGGAAAUUUAGUAAUACGUUUAUCUGAGUGACGUUUUGCAUUCUUGGCUUGCACGGAUAAAAAUUAUUUAGAUGAUGAAUUGUGGAUAAACACACCAAAAGUAUAAUGAAUGUGCAAAUAAAGGAUGUUUUUUUUCAUUAUA